rnacentral:tRNA from 1 species
UAGCUCAGUGGGUAGAGCGUCAGCCUGCAGACUGAAAGGUCCCGGGUUCAAUUCCCGG